rnacentral:rRNA from 1 species
CCUACGGGCGGCAGCAGUGGGGAAUAUUGGGCAAUGGGCGCAAGCCUGACCCAGCAACGCCGCGUGAAGGCAGAAGGCUUUCGGGUUGUAAACUUCUUUUGACAGGGAAGAGCAGAAGACGGUACCUGUCGAAUAAGCCACGGCUAACUACGUGCCAGCAGCCGCGGUAAUACGUAGGUGGCAAGCUGUGUCCGGAUUUACUGGGUGUAAAGGGCGUGUAGCCGGGCUGACAAGUCAGAUGUGAAAUACGGGGGCUCAACCCCCGAACUGCAUUUGAAACUGUUGGUCUUGAGUAUCGGAGAGGCAGGCGGAAUUCCUAGUGUGGCGGUGAAAUGCGUAGAUAUUAGGAGGAACACCAGUGGCGAAGGCGGCCUGCUGGACGACAACUGACGGUGAGGCGCGAAAGCGUGGGGAGCAAACAGGAUUAGAUACCCGAGUAGUC